GAACUACUCAGAUGGAGGGGAUAUGCUGGUCGCGCAAGCCCCUCUUCUGUCCGUGUACGCUCGGCACUCGGGCAAGCUUCGAGCGGGAAGAGAAGGACAGACCAUGGAUAUAAGAAUAUAGGGAUGGAGCAUGAGUUCACGGGGGAGAAGCCAUUGCGCGACGAAGGGACGAGCAAAAAGAAAAAAAAGCAAAAUGGUGCAAUGUUAUGAGCCAAAAAUCGAUCCGAUUGCCAAAAUUGGAAACAAAUAAACGUUGAUAAAAAUCGGAAGAUUACAUUUCACAGUAUCCCAAAAAAUGAUACUAGUCGCAAUUUGUGGACUGAUAUCUUGGGUCUUCCUUCAUACGUCCCCAAUACUGCUCGUAUUUGUUCGGCCCAUUUUCCACGAGAAGCCUUCGAUGACACGAACCCAUUACGAAUUCGACUAAGACCAAAUGUAUUACCGUCAAUAUUAUCAAAUGUAAUGCCUACAGAAGUGGAAGAAAGACAAGAAGAAGAUUACCUUACUUGCUCACUAUCUACAACAGACAAAGCAACGAUGGCACAACCAUCUAUGGAGGAUUAAUUAAAUAAAUAUUUAUAAACUUAAAAAUUAAAAUUCGC